rnacentral:rRNA from 1 species
UACGUAGGGGGCAAGCGUUGUCCGGAAUUAUUGGGCGUAAAGAGCGCGUAGGCGGUCCGAUAAGUCAGCUGUGAAAGUCAGGGGCUCAACCCUUGGAAGCCGGCCGAUACUGUCGGACUAGAGUCCGGAAGAGGCGAGUGGAAUUCCCGGUGUAGCGGUGAAAUGCGCAGAUAUCGGGAGGAACACCAAUGGCGAAGGCAGCUCGCUGGGACGGUACUGACGCUGAGGCGCGAAAGCGUGGGGAGCAAACAGG